AAAUAACAAAUGAUUCCAUGGGAGCAUAUCUAUAAUGACGGUACUCGACGAGUUAAAUCAGUUUUUCCGCUUGUGAUAGUCCACGGCUGUUAUUAUCACUAUAACAAAGCAGUGUGGGGUAAAGCUAAAGAACUCGGUAUCACAAAAUCAAAUCAUCCAAGUAAAAUACGAGAAGUACAGCUAAGCGCUGAACUUCCAUUGUUUCCAGCAACUAAAAUUAUGAAAGGUUGGUCAUACAUUACACGCAAACCCUGUGAAGAUGAAAAUAUAAAAAAAAUCCGAACGUAUAUGGAAAGACGACUUAGGUGACUACUCAUCCGCAAAAUAUUUCAUCCGCGGAUGAAACGUUACUCUUUUAAAAUUGUAAGGCGACGAAUCAUCCGCAACUUCGGAUGAGUCGUUGCAUAGUUAACAUUGAUGUGGUCAUAUCGGCCAAAUAGACGAACAAACAUAUUUUGUGUAUAGGAACAUUGUCUGUUCUUUAGUUUCAUCGGUUUCACUAGCUGCUAUGAGUAAUAAAGCGAACAAAAAUACUUCUAUGCAUAAGAAUCGUUUUUAUUAAGAAUAUAAUUUUUUAUACUGGUGAAUCAGAAUAAUAAGCAAUUUCCCUAAACAAAUGACAGGUAGUUACUGUUUUACUGCGAAAAUUGAGUUAAUGUUAUAAAUAUGAAUACAUUUCAAUAGUUUGGUAAUACUUAAAUAACCAAAUAUUUACGACUACCGACGUUUUGUGCAACUUGUAUCAGCGGUUUGAAAAACGAAAGAUUUGAGGGUAUUUAGAAAAUAAUUGAGACAAGCUAAGUUGUUUUGUCAUGAAUAUAUUUUGUUAGCCAGUGUACGUUAAGUUGACAGAGUGUACGUUCAUCUAGUUAAUUACUACAUAUUAUAGUCAAUUAAUUAAUAAUAGAAUUGAAUAAAGUUUUUAUGUUCCGGUGCGUGGGAAUAAACUGAGUUUUCAUAUUCCAUGCGGGUGAUUGAGCUGCCUUGAGGUCAGAUAUUUUAUUAUUACCUAUCCAAGAAAAAUAAAACUCAAAACAUUGUAACAUUGUUUAGUUUCUAUUUUAGAAUCACAAUUAUGGACAAGGAAAAUACGCGAAUUAAAAUGAUUUCUUCGCAACGAGGAGGAAAUCUUUUAAUGGAAGGAAACUAUCGUUAUUAUAAAAAACGUGAAAAUAAAAACGGACAUAUAGUUUGGCACUGUGCUUCACAAAAUUGUAAAUCUAAUUUGGUUACUAACUAUGAUUGUAACCUUAUACUGAAAGAAAAACUUCAUAGUUGUCAGUCUAGUAGUUUAGAUAACCAAUUAUUGGAGAAAAUUGACGAAUGUUUAGAAAGAGCAAAAACUGAAAGUACUCCUAUACCAACAAUUUAUAAAGAGGCGGUAGAAAAAUUAGAGUCUACAGGAUUAGACUUAAUCAUAAAAAUACCAAAAUACAACAAUUUCAAGAAAAGAAUGUAUAAACUACGUAAUAAAGAACUGCAAACUAAAAAGGUGCGAUUUUUUAAAUUGAAAGAUGUUACAGUUCCUGGUGUUCACAAAAACUUUUUACUUGCUGAUUAUAGCGAAAAAAGUGACAGGAUAUUACUGUUUGCUACUGAAGAAUCCAAAGAAAUUCUCAAGAAAGCUAAACAUGUUUUUUGCGAUGGAACAUUUAAAGCCGUUGUACCUCCCUUUAAGCAGUUGUAUACGUUACAUGUUGACAUGGGCAGUACUUAUACACAUACGAAUAUUAUACCAGCAGUUUAUGCCUUAUUGCCAAAUAAAAAGCAAUCAAGUUAUGAAAUUUUCUUCCAUCUCUUAAAAAGCCAAAUUCCCGAAUUUGAUCCUGAGUCCAUCACUACUGAUUUUGAAACCAGUGCAAUGACAGCAGCUAAAGCUGUAUUUGAUAAAGUAACUACUCGAGGGUGUAUAUUUCAUUUUAAAAAAGCUGUCCAAAAAAAAGCUAAAGUGAUUGGAAUUACAAAAAAAUCAAACAUGUCAAGGGCUCACGUGAGCCGUUGUAUGGCGUUGGCAUAUCUCCCAAAUAUUGAAGUUUCAGAUGGUUGGCUUUAUGUAUUGGGUGAAUGUAUACAAAAUGAUGAUAAAACAGCGCAAUUUAACCAUUAUUUUCAAAAUACCUGGCUAGAGAAGAAAUCUGUCUUGUCUGAUAAAUGGUGUUUUUAUAAUAUCCGGCACAAAACGAAUAACGCUAUAGAAUGGUGGAACUCGAAACUGAAUAGGACAAUAAAAAGCAAACCUAACAUAGCCGUUUUAUUAAAUACUCUUAAAAAAGAUGCCAAAUAUCAUUCUAAUCUGUGGAAAAAUCAAGGAUUUAUUUCAAAGAGAACGGAAGAAAGUAUGGUGAGGGAAAAAAAAAUUAAUAACAGUUUGCGAGAGUUUAUUGAUAAUGAAAUUAGCCUCGGACAUUGUAUAGAGAAAUUAUCAUAUUAGUGAUACAGAUCGUUUACAAUAUUUCGUAGCAGUUCAUUUUUUGAUUAUAAACCUAAAUACUAAGAAGGUUUAAAUUAUUUCGAUUAAUAUUUUGUAACAUAUGUAAAAAUGGAUAAUUCUUAAUAACAAUCUAUUUAGAUUUACUCAUUUUUGUAACAUUAACUCAAUUUUCGCAGUAAAACAGUAACUACCUGUCAUUUGUUUAGGGAAAUUGCUUAUUAUUCUGAUUCACCAGUAUAAAAAAUUAUAUUCUUAAUAAAAACGAUUCUUAUGCAUAGAAGUAUUUUUGUUCGCUUUAUUACUCAUAGCAGCUAGUGAAACCGAUGAAACUAAAGAACAGACAAUGUUCCUAUACACAAAAUAUGUUUGUUCGUCUAUUUGGCCGAUAUGACCACAUCAAUGUUAACUAUGCAACGACUCAUCCGAAGUUGCGGAUGAUUCGUCGCCUUAUAAUUUUAAAAGAGUAACGUUUCAUCCGCGGAUGAAAUAUUUUGCGGAUGAGUAGUCACCUAAGUCGGAAAGACAGUGGCUCAAAGAAGAGUUCAUGAAUGUAUGGAGUGUAUAUGGUCAACAGCAUCGAACUACAAAUUAUAUAGAAGGUUGGCACAACAAGCUUAACCACGAAAUUGGCAUGAAACAUCCGAACCUCGUGCAUUUACUGAGUGUUUUGCGACAAGAUUCUUCAUAUUCUAAUGUUUGUAACAGCAGAAUCAAACAGAAAAAUCCGUUAAAAGAAAGAAAGGCUACACAGAUAUUUAGAGAUGAAUUCAUACAAGAAAUUCAACUCGAGUUUGUUCAUGGAGAAAUGACAGGGGGACAUUUUCUAGAAACUUUACGACACUAAUUGUUACGAUUCUUUCUGUGAUUUAUAAUUAUAUAUAAUGGUUCUUUCUGUAUUUUCUAGAUUUUGAGAUUUUGUGUAAUUUAAUUAUUGUAAAUACUGUGAUUAAUCUGUGAUAAUAAUAUAUCUUAACUAAGAAUUGUUUUACGAAUACUGCAUAACGAUUAAGUGUAUGAUCGACGAUAGUACCUAACGUAACGAAAAAGUCUGAUUUUAUCUGUAUUUUAAUGAUGUAGGUAUUAGAAUAUUUUUGUUAUAAUAUUUAGGGUCUCUUUCACCACCUUCAAGUAAAGUGUUGAUUAGUUACUUGUCAAUUAACGUUACUUGGCAAGUAAAACUUACAAGUAACUUCAGUGGAUUUCACAAGCGAAAUUAAAGCUCUGAGUAACUACUUGCCGGUUUAUUGAACGAUGUCACAAACCGUACAUUACAUUCGUUCAUUAAUACGUCAACGUUACUCGACAGACGUCAUCAUUGGCGAUUUAUCUGUCAUUAGCGACUUGUGAGAGCGUAUUUUGUGUUUGUUUUGUUGUUGUUUUCUUAUUAUUCGUCCUCGUCGCCAUGGAAAAAACCAAAAGAGAUAGGAGCGCAAACUUUUCUCUCCACGAGAGAGACAUUUUGGUGUCCCUGAUCCAAAAAUAUAAAAGUAUUUUAGAAAAUAAACAAAGCGAUGCUUCCACUUGGAAACAGAAAGAAGCUGCGUGGAAAGCCAUUCAAAAUGAUUUUAAUGCUAGAUCUGGAGGGACAUUCCGGACAACAAAGACGCUAAAAGUAAAAUAUGAGGGCCUCAAAAGAACUGUGCGGAAAAAGUCCGCUGCGAUACGCUCGGAGCUCUACCGCACCGGAGGUGGCCGCAACACGGCGCCUCCGCUAGACAACGUCGAGGAGCAAGUUAAAUCAAUGAUUUCUUUGAGCACCGACGGACUGCAUAGCAUUUAUGACUCAGAUGUCAUACAAGAAAAUCAAGGAACUCAAGGUGAGUUAUAUGGUUGUUUUUAAACAUACAAACUUGCAAUAAGUACUGAACUUCGUAUUUUAGUAUCGGGAAUGUACUAAAUUUCAUAAUUAUUGAAAUACAAACAAUUAUAAUAUGCUUUUAAUGCCUUUUUACAGACAACAUCAAUGUUCCUGAUGAACAAGUGGAGAUUUCCAUGAUAGAUGUACCCGAGAUUGUAGAAAGUACUACUUCUCAAAACCAAAUUGUGGUGCUAGUAGCUAAUGAGUGUGAACCAUUACCAGCCACUAGCAGUGCAGCAGACAUGGUUGAAACAGAAAAAAAUUUAGAAAGCAUGGAUAGUAUGUAUUGAUACGGAUUUUAAUAUUUUACUUUUGUAAACUUGAUAUCAGUAAUUAGAUUAUUGCAUUACAUACUCAACCACUCUAGCAAGACUAUACUGGUCCUGUCAUAUUGCUUAUCAGACAUUGCUGAGAUAAUUACAUUACAUAUUAUACAUAAUUGAAACACUACUUGCUUCGAUUAUGUCUACAUGUGUAGUAAGUUUUCUAAAAUUUAUUAUUUUUGUUGCAGACAGCGCUUUGCUUGACAGCGACACUCCUAAGAGGAAGAGUGUCAUAAUACCAAAUUCAAAAAAAACAUGGGAUGUCACAAGUAGAAAAAAUUUAAAAUCAAAGAAACAUCCUGCACUGAUUGGUAAGACAUAAUAGAAUUUCCCCUAUACUUAUUACUUAUACUCUUUGAAUAGAAUAUCAAAGUUUAUACAUGACAGUAGACACAAAUACUGCUUUUACCAUAUCUUUAGUAGAUACUAGGUACAUAGUAAAGGUACCAUGUUAAGUGGUCAUAAUUAUGUCACCAUUUCAACCUGUUUUAAAUUUCAAUACUGUUUUUGUUACAGCAAAUGUACCAAAAAGGACAUUAAUUGAUGAGCUGACUCAGGCAAAAUUAGAAUUAGUUCAGCUUCAAAAACAAAUUUUAGAAGAAGAAAUUGUAUAUAAAAGGAAGGUAUGGGAG